rnacentral:rRNA from 1 species
GACGAACGCUGGCGGCGUGCUUAACACAUGCAAGUCGAGCGAACGGACCAGGAGUUUGCGUGGCUGAUGUUAGCGGCGGGGGGGAGAGUCACGUGUGUAUAACCUACCUAUAAGACUGGGAUAAUUACGGGACACCGGCGCUUAUAGGGUAGGAUAUUUUGAAGCACGGGGGGCGCGAGUGAGAUACGGUCUUUGUGGCAGUAAUAGCUGGAUACGCGCUGGAUUAGCUAGUUGGUAAGGUAACGGGUUACCAAGGCUACGAUGCAUAGCCGACCUGAGAGGGUGGUCGGCCACAUUGGAAGUGAGCAAGGGUCACGACUCCGACGGUAGGACGCAGUCGGGAAUCUUACGCAAUGGGCGAGAGCCUGACGGAGCAACGGCGCGGGAGUGAUGAAGGUCCUCGGAUCGGAAAGCUCUGUUAUUAGGGGAGAACAUAUGUGUAAGGAGCUGGGCAGAUAUUGACGGUACCUGAUCAGGAAGCCCCGGCUAACUACGUG